rnacentral:lncRNA from 1 species
GAAUAAUGGCAAGAGCUCUCGGUGAUUUUUCAGAACUGCUUUCCAGGAACAAUCAGGUGUGGAAGUAUUACAAAAAAUGUUGACCUUUUUAAAAACUAGGGUUACUUUCAUUUUUGUGAUUUGUCCUUGCAUACCCAAAUAUUUUUUAUUAGUAUGAACUUUUGAAUUAGGUAGUUGUGAAAAUAAGUUGUUUCUAAGCUAAAACUAGCAACUUACAGGGAAAUCUCCCCAGCAGUGGGUGAGCCAUGGGCACGGUCCAUCCAGAAGGGCAAAUGGGAGCUGACCUUGAGGAGCUUGGGAGAGAGGGUGAUAUAAUGAGAUCUUUGGAUAUUUGAAUGAAUGAAAAUUGUUUCCUCUUCUAGAUUCAAAUGAAAACAUCAGAGCGUCCGGAUGAAUGUUCUGCUAGCACUUGUGAGUCCACAAAUACUUGAAUGGAACAGGACAAGUAUCCAUUGAAUACUAUGAUGUGAUCAAAGCCCAAGAUCUUGUUGACUGAUUUGAUGGUUUCAAAUCAGUAUUUGAGCACAUUGAACAUGCAGGAUUGAGGAGCUCUUAAUUGCCAUGUGCUAUAUGCUAAAGGAUAUUGUGGAAUCAUUGCAUCUGCAUCAUGAGACAAGUGUGUGGAUGGUGACUGGAAAAGAACGAAAAAAAUAUAAAAUGAAGCUUUUUUUAUAUCAUUCUGGAAAUGCUGAGACAUAAAAAUGUUCAUGCAUUUAGACAAAAGCUUUGAUUUGUAUUGUUUUGAAUUACUGAAUUUCACACAAAAUUGUUUGACAUUGAAAUUUAUGGAUGUUAUGAAUGACUGACUACCCUGAUGUGUGUGAAUGUCAGUAUUUUUUAAUAUAUUUAUCCAAAAUUAAGACAAACAGGUGAAUCAAAUCUCAAAAAGGCGUGGGUUUUUUUAAGUGGUCUUUUUUAGUUCAAAUGAAUUUAAAAAUUGGCACAUUAAAUAUUUACAUACAUAUUUGAAAAUGUUACACCUAGCUUAUGAAACAAUUCCUUUUACACUGACUCGUUCCUUUUUUAAAUGUAUGGCAGGUUAAAAUAGUGCUGUGCUAUUGUAUCUUGACUGUUUAAAGUGAUACAGGUAUUUUUUUGGGAUAAGAUCCUGGGUAGGUAGAAUUGGACUAAGGCUGGGUUGAGUUUGUCGUUAAUCAACAGGUUAUUAGUGGUGACUAGUAGCAUUUGAUCAUUUAUUUAAUACAUUACAGUGGUAUAUUUGCUAAGGAAUUUAGUUACUUAGGCAGCUGACCCAAAUAGUGACAUUCCUUUUCUGACAGCAAUCUUGAUAAUUUGAAAUAUUGGGUGGUCUUUUUUUAUAAAGUUUUUUCUGCCUUUAACAGAUUUGAAAGAACUCACUGGAUAUUCAGUACAGUUUAUUGGCAACUUCGGCAGACAGGCAUUCAAGUUACUUUUAUCAGUAGCAUAGUCUUGCAAUCAGAAAAACUCUUUAUGAAAGCAAUCCCACUAGAAUACUGGUCUCUGGACUUUAAUGAUGGCAUGCUUGCCACGUUGAGGACAAUAUACUUCAUUUAGGCCCAGGUCUAAAUGUUAGAAAAUAUUUGUUUUUUACUUCUUAAGUUAAACAUGAUUAGUUCAUAAACUCAACACUGAAGCAUAACCAGUAAUACUCACUUAUUAAAUUAUUAAAGAACAGCAUAAUUCUCCAAGUGAAGGACAGCAUAUAGUGAAAUUUUGACUUCCCUAUUCCUGUGAUGAAACACAUUUAGUUUUUCACAUCUCAAUCAUUGAUCUUAGAUUUCAUUAAAACCCCCCCAGACUUAGAACCACGGUCAUGACUUAGAGUUAGGUUUCCUCCUCAGCUAAUGUAAUCUAAACCAUACCAGAAGAAAAACCUAAUCUGAGGUAUUCACAUAAUAACCAGCUUUUGCUCAAUGAUCUCACUGAGGAGCUGCUCUUGGUGUAAUUAUGGAAUAACAUUUCAGUAAGUUAAAAUCUUUUCUUACUCAUUUUAUGCAUUGAAAAAUGUAUUUGAAUUAGGGAACAACUUGAGCACCAAGAUAAUGCUCAUGCUAAAUUUCUUCCUUAAACAAGUUGAGGGGCAACUAGGUGGCUCAGUGGAUAGAGCACCGGCACUGAAGUCAGAAGGACCUGAGUUCAAAUCGGGCCUCAGACCAAACACUUGACAUUUACUGUGUGACCCUGGGCAAGUCACUUAACCCCAAUUGCCUUAAAAAAAAUAGUUGGAUACUUAGCAAAAAGUCAAGGACAGAAUUAUGAACCUUGUGACUGGCAUCAAAGAGAUUUGGCAGACAUAGGCACUGUGUUAACUAACAGUACAAAAGCAAAAAUAUUCUAGGGAGACAGCAUUUUUUUAAAGUAUGUACAAAAUCAAUACAAGAUGGUUUAGAAAAGGGCAUUAGUAUCUAGGCAGAUCAGGAGAGGUUUCAUGUGUAAGAUGGGGUGUGAGUUUAAAGUCUUGGAGACUUCCAAGGACAGUACAUGCUAGGGAACCACCAGGGCACAGAUACAGAAAUGGAAGAUGGAGGGUCGUAUGUGAGGCACAGCAACUAGUCCAGUGUGGCAGGACUAUAGAAUACACGGAAGGCGGUCACAGCAAGACUGGAAAAGCUAGAAGCGGCCGUUCUGAGAGGAAUUUUAAAUACCAAAGGAAUUAGUACAGGAUUCAAGAAUUCUGGAACUAAUAGGAAAUACCUGGACUUCAUUGAUUAGAGGGGUGUUAUAUGGGGAGAUGACAAGCACUGGCACAUAUUUGAGCAUGAGGAACCAAAGAUAGCACCGAGAUUCCACGCGGAAUCCUGCCUCCUUAGUUGACUGGAUUAAUAGACGGAUGGUGGUGCCUUUGACUUAUAUAGGCAAGUUUGGUGCAGCGGUUAAGAUUCUAUGUAAAUACAACUAUCAACCUGGGCAAGUUACUUAACCUCACUCAACUUCCUCAGCUGUAAAAUGGGGCUAAUGGCACCCACUUCCCAAGGUUGUGCUGCUCAAGAGAUGUUUAUAAAGUACUUAGCAUAGUGCCUAGCACAUAGGAGGUGUAAUACAAGUGCUUGUUCCUUUCCCUUCCCUGAGGGGUAUCCAAUUCAAAAUGUCCAAAAGACAGUUUUGUGAUGUGGGAAAUACAGCUAUAUAUCCACUAACACUGGACAUAGGUGUAUAAAGAUCAUAAAAGCAUGGGAGAUGAAGAAAUAACGAAGUCAGAAUAUAUGGAAGACAAGACCCAGGACACAGUUGGGAUAUACCUGUAGUUAAGAGGAUAUGGAACACAGCAGAUGAGGCUGAGAACGGUCAUUCUCUUCAGGAAAGAAUACUCCAGUUUAGCCUGUGGAAUGUGAAUGCUAGGUUAAGGAACUUGAUCUUGGGAAGAAACAAUCAGAUUUUAGUGUAAGAAAGAUUAACUUGGCAACAGUAUGAGUUGUUUUUUUUUUUAAUUAGGCAGUUGGGGUUAAGUGACUUGUCCAGGGUCACACAGCUAGUAAGCAUUAAGUGUUUGGUCUGAGGUCGGAUUUGAACUCGGGUCUUCCUGACUUAAGGGCCUGUGUUCUAUCCAUGGUGCUGCCUAGCUGCCCCAAUUUGGCAACAGUAUGAAGAUUGACUUGUGGAAGAGGGAGGGCAAACUUGGAGGCAGGGUGACUAAGAAGCCACUGAAAUGGUUGAAGUGAGAUCAAUUGAGAACUGACUGAACAAAUUAUGGUAAUAUGAAUGUAAUGGGCUAUCACUUUAGCGUAAGAAAUUAUUAGAGGUACUAAUUCAGAGAAACCUGGGAGGACUUGUAUGAAAUAAUGCACCAUGAAGCAAGCAAAACCAGGUGAAUGCUUUAUAUGAUGACUAAAAAUACUGAAAAGGAAAACAGCUUGACAAGACUUGAAUUCUGAUCAAUGCAAUGACCAAUCACCACUCAAGAAAACUGAUAAUAAAGCUUGCUUCCCUUGCCA